ensembl:lncRNA
AAGAAUAUAGAGACCAAGGGUAUUAAAACUGAAAGUAACUUUGGUGGUGUGGGGGGAAGGAUGACAACCAGUAGCAAUAUUGUUAUUGUCUAAGGGUUUCUAAUAAUGCCUGCGGAAACUGAUGUUCUUAAGUGCCUUUUCUCAGAUUCCUGAAAUCAUUUGAGUUCCACUGCAUGCCCAUUUAAGAACAUAAGGUUCAUUUACCAUAUCUCCCCGUUGGCCAAGCAGAAAUCUAAAAAUAAACUCUUAGUUCUUAGGUUUGACCUAACUCUUUAUAUAAAUAUCCGUUUGCAGUUAUUUUAGGGAAAAAAAUUUCUAUCCCCUAAGUCUUUUGGUUGUGAAAACUUUAAGAAACUGAUUUCUCUCCUGAACACUUCCUUCCUCUAAACUGCAUACAGUUUGGGGUGUGGGGGAAGGAAGCAACAGUCACAUUUUAUUUUGUUUUUUGUUUCCCAUAAAAGAAUGAAAGCGACAACCCCACUUCACAAAAUUUUUCUGCUGUUUCCCUUUCCACUACCAAAUUUUAAAUGAUGAUUAGUGUGUGAAAAAUUGGUUCCUUAAUAUAAAGCUUAACUCUAAACUUUGGAGAGCUUUGGUCUAAGAUAGAGCAUCUCAUCACCAAGUUUGGAAGUGCCCUAUGGGAAACUGCCAUGCCACAUUUUCUCCUAUCUGUAUCUCUGCCGAUGUUUCCUCAACACUUGAUGCACAGCAGACAAUACAACAGCACACCAUUAGCUGUUACUCAAGAGUAAAUUCAGCCUUCAAUUUCCUCAGACCUAAUGGUCCGAGGAGUCUACAAACUCAUCUGGAACAAGUACUGGAUAUUCCACUACAUCUCAGCUCAACUGAGUGUCCUUGCUCUGGCUCUGUUAUUAUUGACAAGGUUCCUGCGAAAGUCACAAGUAUCAAAAAGCAAAUGAAAAUGCAAGAACAACAUGAGACUGAAUGAGAUGAUUAAAGUUUUGUAUAAUUGAAAUUUCAGAAAUGGAGAAGAGAGAGGAUGAGGCAGAAGGAACAUCUAUGGACAUAACUAUGUUAAAUUCUCCAAAGGUGAAGAUUCAGGAAGCACUACUAAAUUUAAGCAAAUUCAUGUUGUAUUAAAAUGGCCAAAAAUCAAAGACAGUGCUAAGGAAAAUAAAGCAUUAAGGAACCACUUGUAAGAAACAGAGCUGACCUCUGUAAUGAACAUUCCCCAACCUCAGAAUUGUGGGCCUUGACAUGUGCCUGGCAGGAGUGUAUAAUUGUUAUAAAUCAGUGACUGCUAUGAUGCCUCUUUUGCUCCCUCUCUGGAAUGUGAGUGUCUGGUUCAAGUUAUCUUUUCCCCAUCUCACCAAUAUAUUUUGGAUGUGUGGCAUGAAAAUAACUACUUGGUUCACAGAUCCAUGGCUUAAGAAGGGCUUCAAAAUGCUGUUCUUGAGAAAUUUCACCCAAGAAGCCUCAUUUUCAUCAGGACCUCACACGUAUUUCCAUAGCCUGGACUUUAAGCCUUAUGCAGUGAUGGGUUGAGAUUUUGGGGGUCUUCAGAGGUGGUUAGUAAAUCUUGUAUGUGGAAGAAAUAUGAAUCCAUAGGGCCAACAGAAGGACUAAGAUAGAUUUUUACAAUAAUGCUCCCAGCGAAUCAAACCUCCCAGUAUCCAGGUGGCCUUAGUUAGCUAGGGCUACCAUAACAAUAUAUUGUAAUAUAGAUGACUUAAACAACAUAAAUUUAUUUUCUUAUACUUCCGGAGGCUGUCAAUCUGAGACCAGGAAGAUAUAGCUGGUCUUCACCUUCUGGUGAAGGCUUAUUUUCUGGCUUGCAGAUAGCUACUUAACUCUCUCUGUCCUCACAUGGCAGAGAGAUAAAUGGAGAGAGCAAGCUCUCUGGCAUCUCUUCUUGUAAGGAUGCCCAUUCCAUCAUGAGGGCACUACUCUCAUGGACUUAUCUGACCCUAACUAACUCCCAAAGACUCUAUCUCCAAAUACAUCAUGUUAGGGAUUAGGACUUCAACAUACGAAUUUGAGGGAAGCCGCACUCAGUCCUGAGCAGUGGCGAAAGAACAAAAAACAAGGAACCAAUGUAACAAAUAGAAAAUAGUUAUAAAGACAAUAGAUAUUAAUCCUUUUAUGUCAAUAAUCACUUUAAAUGUUAGUGGUCUAAAUAUAUCAACUAAAAGACAAAGAUUGUUAAUUGAUUAAAAAAAUAAGACCCAAGCAAAUGUUGUUGGCAAGGAAUCUAUGUUAAAUAUAAAACGCAGAUAAGUUAAAAGUAAUGGGAUGGAGGAAUAAAUACAAUGUUGUUACUCAUAGAAAGAAACCUGAAAGAGCCACAUUAAUAUCACACAAAGUGUAUUUUAGAACAAGAAAGGUUAUUAGGGAUAUGGAGGAGCAUUAAAUAAUGAUUCAAGAGUCUGUUCUCUAAGAAGAUACUGAAAUACCCUAGCUUGGCUGUGAUGAAUACAUUUUAAACAAUCCUGCUGACUCCAUUUUACCCACCCUGAGCUAUGUAGGGCAUUCUGUUCCAAGAACUUAUAGUCUGAGACACCUGGUAUCUUUGUAACCAAUUUUCUGAGAAACAGGGCCCACAGGCCCAUACAUCCUGUACCUGCAACCAUGUAACUGCCUACCCCACAUCCUGAGUGAAAAACAACUUUAAAUAGAAUUUUGUUGUUAGGCACCACCCUCUUCCCCUAACCUGCUCCUUCUGCUUCUGUAAUAAUUUGCUUACCACCCCCUAACCCUAAACUGAUAUAAAAAUGUUGACUGCCCUUUGUUCUGGGCCAAGAGGUUUGAGCUCUGGCUGACUAUUGGACACCAGCCAUUAAAGUGGACUCUCAAC